rnacentral:lncRNA from 1 species
CAAAAUUCUACAUUUAGGUAUAAAUAAUCAACUCUAAUAUGGAUCAACUGAAGAGGAAAGCAGGAAGUGUGAUAAGAAAUUGAGAAAUGUUGCCUCUGAAGAAAACUGGAGGGAUCUGGUUUAUCUCUUGGAGAAAAGAGGAGACAUAAUAUGCAAUUUUCCCCAGGAAAAGCCCCAAGAUGUCCAAAGGGCCAUGAGUCUUUUCCAGAUUCUGCAUCUUGUCUGCCAACCCCAGCACCAAGGAUGUAUAUUUGCUUGAAAAUGUCUAAAUGGAAGAAAAAACAUAUAGUAUUUCAGUU